rnacentral:lncRNA from 1 species
AAAACUCGGAAUAGUCACAAUUUACUACCGGGAGGUGGUGUCCGAUCCUUAACGCUAAAGGGAGGCUGGGCGGGCGGAGACAGACCCCAUUUUUGCAGAGACCCCAGACACCGGGAUGGUGGGGAGGCCGGCCAGCUGUCCGGAGAGCAUGUUGGGAAUCGUAGUCCCGCUGGGAGAAGUGUGCGCCUUGCAUGCUGGGAUGUGUAGUCCUGGCCGCAGUGCUUGCUGGGACCCGGCUUUGUCUUCUGGGACUCGCGAGAGAGGCUGGGUAGGGUUUUGUCUGGCGCUUUUGCGCGGGUUCCCUGGCAAUAAGCGUCAUUUUGUUCGUUUGUUUUGUAUUCACUUCUAUUAUUGUCUGGAUUACCCCGACAACUGGUGCGUUACGACUUAGGAGAAGGAACACCAGUUCAAACCGCUUAUAAUAAAAGCAAAGGGGUUGUGUUAAGUGUUCUUGUAUUCAUCAGGCAGCAGGAUGAUCUCUUGUGGAGUAAAAUGUCAGGUGUUUUUUUUUUUAAGAAAUCGAUUUUUAGUUGUGACGUCAUUUGGCAGGCUGUCCACGGUAUCACUUUCUGCUUAUUUUUAAAAGGUCUGAUUUAAGCCGACGCUGUUCUACCCUGCCACUCCUAGCCAUAAAUUGGUACUGUGUGUAAGUUUUGCUUUUUGUUUGAUCUGAAGCAGCUUUUGUUUCUUUCCCUCAGAAGCGAUGUCCCCGUUAACUUUUGUUCAGUAAAGAGACAGUGUAAGAAAAGGUGGAACUGUGUUGCUGAUAACUUAUCAGGUCUUUUAUACCCUUUUGUGUCUUUUUAAGUUUGCUUCUGAUCCCUGAGUUUACCUUAUGUCAGGCAUGUGGAAGUAUAAGCACAGUUCAAAUAUGUUAUUGGAUAAGCGUGUAAUUGAAUAAGGAGUUGUAACCUAAAGUUAGAAAAAUCUAACUCAUAAAGAGUAUGGGAAUUCCUCCUUGUCUAUCAAAACAAGUUGGUUAAGUCAGAGGCAAGACGAAAGGCCCA